rnacentral:rRNA from 1 species
CACGUAGGGCGCAAGCGUUGUCCGGAAUUAUUGGGCGUAAAGAGCUCGUAGGCGGUCUGUUACGUCUGCUGUGAAAACCCGGGGCUUAACCCUGGGCUUGCAGUGGAUACGGGCAGACUAGAGGCAGGUAGGGGAGAAUGGAAUUCCCGGUGUAGCGGUGAAAUGCGCAGAUAUCGGGAGGAACACCGGUGGCGAAGGCGGGUUGCUGGGCCAACACUGACGCUGAGGCGCGAAAGCCAGGGGAGCAAACGGG